GAGGCUGUUGAACGCAUCAUUCUUCUUGCCGAUCAAGCUGCUGCCUUCCAGUGAAACGAAUACAUUUGUUUAUCAAGGUGCUUGCUAGUGUUCCUUAAUUAAUAUUUUUUUAAUAGGAAGAAGUUUAAAUCGAAAUUUAGCUGUGAAGUGACAACGUUUUGAUGCGUGAUCAGAGAGUAUACUAUUUGUAUCCAAUGAAAUAACGUCAUACUUCUAUGCAAAGGCUGUUGUUCGGCAAGCUCGUUAAUUUGUAUUAAGUCCCGCAUCGAGUAAACAGUGCAUCGAAAUGAAAUUCUUUCUGAUUUACGUGGUUGUGAUGGUAGUGAUGCUGGCGCUGGUGAGCGCAGCUCCCCAGCUCGUCAAAACCAGGCGAAAAUUCCCCGGUCAGCGUCGGCUGGGGGCCACAAACUACGGCCAAUAUUCUAUUGGCAAACGAGGAUACGAAACGAGAAAGUACUGAAGAAGGGAAGAACCACUCAACCUAACCUGACCCAUCUGUCGCCGAUGACUCGUUUCAUCAGCAAGUUUCCUUCGCCGUGUCGUGAAUCCUCCAGAAAGUGAAUGCCUAUAGCUUCAGAGAAAGUGUUUUUUUAUAUUUUUCCAGUUUCAGUUAUAUCUAAUGGAGCAUCGGAUGCGUACAGUGAGAUUGUUUAGUUCACGUCACAAGAAGUCUAAUAUUACAUAGAGUUAAUCAGAUUCCUAAAUUUCUACUCUAAGCUGGGUGGAGGUUACAAGUUAUUUCAAAGACAAAGAGAGUCCAGUGGCUUAUUACGGAGCCCUUACAACGGAGAGAGUCCUGUGGCUUAUUACGGAGCCCCUUACAACGGAGAGAGUCCUGUGGCUUAUUACGGAGCCCCUUACAACGGAGAGAGUCCAGCGGCUUAUUACGGAGCCCCUUACAACGGAGAGAGUCCAGCGGCUUAUUACGGAGCCCCUUACAACGGAGAAAGUCCUGUGGCUUAUUACGGAUGCCCUUAUUACGGCGAGAUGGAUACGGGUGCCGCUAUCACAACGAAUUUUCAUGAUGAGGCUUGUCAUUACAAGAAGAAACGGCAAUUUUACCCGAUUCUGCCAAGUCUUCAGAUACCAAAGUGCAUGCAAUAAACGAACUUAGUACCUAAUUUGUUUAUGAAUUCUGAAUAGCGUGAUCUAUACACCUAAGCCAUUUUCAAAAAAUAAAUUGUUUAAUAUAUAUUGUGCCAGGCAUUAGCGAAAUAUUUAUUAGCGCUUUUAAUUUUUUAUGUUAAUUUUAGUCUGUUAUAUCAAUUACUUUGUUUAUUCAAAUUAAAUUAUUACGUUUAUUACUCGUAAGCUUUUUAAAUAUCAUUGAAAUAACUUCGUUAAUGGUUGAGUUAUUGGUAUGAUCCCAUAAUAACCUGCAGGGCUCAGGAUGUAUUUAGGACAUGCCCAUUGGUUGUAUUUUUGUUGAAGAUCAUUUUAUUUCAGUGUAUAAUUCGAUGCAGCUGAACUAAUGCCAUGCAGUUGAAGCGUAAAAUUUUAUCCUCGUCAGCUGCAAUGAGGUUCGUUCAAAGUUUAUAUUUUCACCUUAACACUUAGAAUUCAAAAUCAAUUUUGGGGGCUUUCAAAGGAAAAUCAGAAGCCUCAUAAAUUUGUUGCAAAUCACUGCUUUUAUAUGAUGAUGUUACUCAUAAUUUUGUAACAAAGCUGACAAAUUGAUUUCAAUAGUUACGAAAUGAAUUAGUAUAUUACAAUAAUUAAACAGUUCUG